rnacentral:rRNA from 1 species
AUGUCCCAUCCGUCCAUUCUGGCCGCCGCCAGCCACCUGAUCUCCUCCUCGUUUUUCGCGCGCUCCCAAUCGCGAGCCAGCCUCCAGAUCCACCCGCAGACUCCACCUUCUCCUCGAAUCCUCGCCCAGCCGCUCGAGUCUCUGCUCGUUGACCCUGCGCUCGGCCGUGCAGCCGCCUCGGACCGUGACCACAGGAGCAGGAGCUCCUCUGCUCGCGCACCAGCGCCUGUCCCUUGGUACCUCCUUCCUCCCGUCCUCGAGCUUGCCGGAGGCCUCCGAUGCCGCCGGAGCAUCAGCAGCCAACAAGAUGAGCACCUGCCGCGCCCCCUUUCUCCGGUCCUUCCGCUUCUUCCCGUCCCUCUCUUACGUUCUCUCACUUCGGCUCAUAUCUCUCUCUCUGUCCCUAUACUUGCUGUAGCAGGAGAUCGCCAUAGCCGCUGUUUGUCCUCGUCCCCGCCCUUCGGAUUCGCGCCGAUCGGCCUCCUCCGCGACCUCCCCUUCCGACUGGAGUCCCUCGCCGCUGCAACUCCCUCGAACAAGAUCGGGGUUGAGCCUCCCGCUCCUGCUGUCCUCGUUGACCCGCGCCCGUCUGCCUCGGAGCCGUCCUCCACCGCUCCUCUGCAUCGCUCGCCCACGCCAUCUUCAGUGUCACCGCCGCCAUCUUCUUCUUGGAGUCCCGCCAAGUCCCUGGACUACCUUCUCUCGCGCGCCGGUCAAGGAUCCGGUCUGGAUCGACCUCCCACGCCCAAGACCGCGCCGCCGGCCCUGCAGUCCCGCGUCAAGUCCCCUGCUUCCUCUGCGUCGAGGACGCGUCGUCCCCGCGUUGACCGAUCCCAAACGCCUCUGCGUCCAGGAGCAGCACAGCCCUCCAAGGCCGGCCCAGGCACCAAGGCCCAGCCGCCCGCAAUACGCACCGGCGCCUCCUUCUUCCCCUCCAGAUCUAGCCUGCCCGAGCCGCUGCACUGA